rnacentral:tRNA from 1 species
GGGCCUGUAGCGCAGUUGGGAGCGCGCUUCAAUCGCACUGAAGAGGCCGUGAGUUCGAAUCUCACCAGGUCCACAA